rnacentral:rRNA from 1 species
GACGAACGCUGGCGGCGUGCUUAACACAUGCAAGUCGAACGGAAAGGCCCUGCUUUUGUGGGGUGCUCGAGUGGCGAACGGGUGAGUAACACGUGAGUAACCUGCCCUUGACUUUGGGAUAACUUCAGGAAACUGGGGCUAAUACCGGAUAGGAGCUCCUGCUGCAUGGUGGGGGUUGGAAAGUUUCGGCGGUGGGGGAUGGACUCGCGGCUUAUCAGCUUGUUGGUGGGGUAGUGGCUUACCAAGGCUUUGACGGGUAGCCGGCCUGGGAGGGUGACCGGCCACAUUGGGACUGAGGUACGGCCCAGACUCCUACGGGCGGCAGCAGGGGGGAAUAUUGCGCAAUGGGCGGAAGCCUGAUGCAGCAGCGCCGCGUGCGGGAUGACGGCCUUCGGGUUGUAAACCGCUUUCGCCUGUGCCGAAGCGUGAGUGACGGUAAUGGGUAAAGAAGCACCGGCUAACUACGUG